ACUUAAAUUGAAGAGUUUGAUCAUGGCUCAGAUUGAACGCUGGCGGCAGGCCUAACACAUGCAAGUCGAGCGGUAGCACAGAGAGCUUGCUCUCGGGUGACGAGCGGCGGACGGGUGAGUAAUGUCUGGGAAACUGCCUGAUGGAGGGGGAUAACUACUGGAAACGGUAGCUAAUACCGCAUAACGUCGCAAGACCAAAGUGGGGGACCUUCGGGCCUCAUGCCAUCAGAUGUGCCCAGAUGGGAUUAGCUAGUAGGUGGGGUAAUGGCUCACCUAGGCGACGAUCCCUAGCUGGUCUGAGAGGAUGACCAGCCACACUGGAACUGAGACACGGUCCAGACUCCUACGGGAGGCAGCAGUGGGGAAUAUUGCACAAUGGGCGCAAGCCUGAUGCAGCCAUGCCGCGUGUGUGAAGAAGGCCUUCGGGUUGUAAAGCACUUUCAGCGGGGAGGAAGGCGAUAAGGUUAAUAACCUUGUCGAUUGACGUUACCCGCAGAAGAAGCACCGGCUAACUCCGUGCCAGCAGCCGCGGUAAUACGGAGGGUGCAAGCGUUAAUCGGAAUUACUGGGCGUAAAGCGCACGCAGGCGGUCUGUCAAGUCGGAUGUGAAAUCCCCGGGCUCAACCUGGGAACUGCAUUCGAAACUGGCAGGCUAGAGUCUUGUAGAGGGGGGUAGAAUUCCAGGUGUAGCGGUGAAAUGCGUAGAGAUCUGGAGGAAUACCGGUGGCGAAGGCGGCCCCCUGGACAAAGACUGACGCUCAGGUGCGAAAGCGUGGGGAGCAAACAGGAUUAGAUACCCUGGUAGUCCACGCCGUAAACGAUGUCGAUUUGGAGGUUGUGCCCUUGAGGCGUGGCUUCCGGAGCUAACGCGUUAAAUCGACCGCCUGGGGAGUACGGCCGCAAGGUUAAAACUCAAAUGAAUUGACGGGGGCCCGCACAAGCGGUGGAGCAUGUGGUUUAAUUCGAUGCAACGCGAAGAACCUUACCUGGUCUUGACAUCCACAGAACUUUCCAGAGAUGGAUUGGUGCCUUCGGGAACUGUGAGACAGGUGCUGCAUGGCUGUCGUCAGCUCGUGUUGUGAAAUGUUGGGUUAAGUCCCGCAACGAGCGCAACCCUUAUCCUUUGUUGCCAGCGGUCCGGCCGGGAACUCAAAGGAGACUGCCAGUGAUAAACUGGAGGAAGGUGGGGAUGACGUCAAGUCAUCAUGGCCCUUACGACCAGGGCUACACACGUGCUACAAUGGCAUAUACAAAGAGAAGCGACCUCGCGAGAGCAAGCGGACCUCAUAAAGUAUGUCGUAGUCCGGAUUGGAGUCUGCAACUCGACUCCAUGAAGUCGGAAUCGCUAGUAAUCGUAGAUCAGAAUGCUACGGUGAAUACGUUCCCGGGCCUUGUACACACCGCCCGUCACACCAUGGGAGUGGGUUGCAAAAGAAGUAGGUAGCUUAACCUUCGGGAGGGCGCUUACCACUUUGUGAUUCAUGACUGGGGUGAAGUCGUAACAAGGUAACCGUAGGGGAACCUGCGGUUGGAUCACCUCCUUACCUUAAAGAA
rnacentral:rRNA from 1 species